rnacentral:rRNA from 1 species
GACAGAGGGCGCAAACGUUGCUCGGAAUUACUGGGCGUAAAGCGCGUGUAGGCGGGCUUGCAAGUCGGGUGUGAAAUCCCUGGGCUCAACCCAGGAACUGCAUCCGAAACUGCAAGUCUUGAGUGGUGGAGAGGGAUGGCGGAAUUCCGGGUGUAGAGGUGAAAUUCGUAGAUAUCCGGAGGAACACCAGUGGCGAAGGCGGCCUCCUGGACACCUACUGACGCUGAGACGCGAAAGCGUGGGGAGCAAACAGG